AAAAGCCAGCCCCGGCCCCUCCCUGCUCAGAGAGGCAGGCAGCGCCAGGCAGGAAGGAAGGGAGUGUGAGAGAGGGCGUCUGCAGAGAUAGGCUUAAAAAGGAAACUUAAAAUACUGAGCCGUCUUUUAUAAACUAUAGCUAAUAUCGCUAAGAGCGAAUAUUUCUAAAAUAGAAGAUGGAAAUUUUACGCUACAAUAUUAAUUAUAGUUUAUAACUUAAAACGAAGCAUUAAAUAAGUAGCUCUUCUAAACGAAAAGAAUAUUGGAAGAGAAAGAAGAAUGAAGACUAAACUUAAAAACAGGGAGGAAAAUAGUUGGUUGAUCGACGGCAGGCUUAAAAAGUCCAGCAGAAGGCAAGUUUUUAAAAAGCCGAAAAAUACUGGAAAUUUUAAAACUAAAAUGACAGAAAACGGCUGAAAAAUUGAAAACUAAAACUAGAGAAAAAUGCUGAAAAUUUGAAAACUAAAACUAGAGAAAAAUGCUGAAAAUUUGAAAAGUAAAACUAGAGAAAAAUGCUGGAAAUUUGAAAACUAAAACUACAGAAAACGGCUGAAAAUUUGAAAACUAAAACUAGAGAAAACGGCUGAAAAUUUGAAAACUAAAACUAGAGAAAAAUGCUGAAAAUUUUAAAACUACAGAAAAAUGCUGAAAAACUGAAAACUAAAACGGCUGAAAAAUUAGAAAAAACAAGACGAAGUAAUGAAGAUAAUUGUAGGGCUAUUGAGAGAAAAAAUAUAUAUACUGAAGAUUUCAAAGAUUACUAAGCGAAGCUGUAAGAAAAUGUUCAUAUUGCAAACUAAUUCAAUAGGUUUGAAUAUAAACACAGGAAAGGUAGAAAGAAAGCCUGCUUCGAGCAGAGUUUGAUAAAGGAAAGGCAACUAGAAAAAGCUUAAAAGUUAGUUGCUGAAGGCAGAAAAACAGAAGACAAGGCUUAGAAGAGAGAGGAAGAAAGGUAGAAGGCAACGUAGAAGAAAGGAAAGUAGAAUCAACCUAGAAGAGAGAAAGAAAGGUAGAAGGAAGAAAGAAAAGGUAGAAGGCAACGCAGAAGAAAGGCAAGUAGAAAUCUACCUAGAAGAGAGAGAGAAAGGUAGAAGGCAACGUAGAAGAAAGAAAGAAAGAAGGCAACGUAGAAGAAAGAAAGAAAAGUAGAAGGCAACAUAGAAGAAAGGCAAGUAGAAAUCAACCUAGACGAGAGAAAGAAAGGUAGAAGGCAAAGUAGAAGAAAGAAAAGUAGAAGGCAACGUAGAAGAAAGGCAAGUAGAAAUCUACCUAGAAGAGAGAAAGAAAGGUAGAAGGCAACAUAGAAAAAAGGCAAGUAAAAAUCAACCUAAAAGAGAGAAAGAAAGGUAGAAGGCAACGUAGAAGAAAGGCAAGUAAAAAUCAACCUAAAAGAGAGAAAGAAAGGUAGAAGGCAACGUAGAAGAAAGGCAAGUAAAAAUCAACCUAAAAGAGAGAAAGAAAGGUAGAAGGCAACGUAGAAGAAAGGCAAGUAAAAAUCAACCUAAAAAAGAGAAAGAAAGAUGUAGAAGGCAACGUAGAAGAAAGGCAAGUAAAAAUCGACCUAAAAGAGAGAAAGAAAGGUAGAAGGCAACGUAGAAGAAAGGCAAGUAAAAAUCAACCUAAAAGAGAAAGAAAGGUAGAAGGCAACGUAGAAGAAAGGCAAGUAAAAACCUAAAAGAGAAAGAAAGGUAGAAGGCAACGUAGAAGAAAGGCAAGUAGAAACCAACCUAGAAGAGAGAAGGCAGGAAGGAAAGUAGAAGAGAUCAAGGCAGGAAAGAAGACAAGAAGAAAGGUAGAGGUCAUCUAGAAGAGAGAAGGAAAGAAAGAAGAGAAAAAGGUAGAAGAGGAUCCAAA